rnacentral:rRNA from 1 species
CCUACGGGAGGCAGCAGUGGGGAAUAUUGGGCAAUGGGCGCAAGCCUGACCCAGCAACGCCGCGUGAAGGAAGAAAGCCCUCGGGUUGUAAACUUCUUUUGUCAGGGACGAAGCAAGUGACGGUACCUGACGAAUAAGCCACGGCUAACUACGUGCCAGCAGCCGCGGCAAUACGUAGGUGGCAAGCGUUAUUCGGAUUUACUGGGGGGAAAGGGGGUGUAGGCGGGGAAGUAAGUCAGAUGUGAAAUUCCAGGGCUCAACCCUGGAACUGCAUUUGAUACUGUUUUUCUUGAGUGAUGGAGAGGCAGGCGGAAUUCCGUGUGUAGCGGUGAAAUGCGUAGAUAUACGGAGGAACACCAGUGGCGAAGGCGGCCUGCUGGACAUUAACUGACGCUGAGGCGCGAAGGCGUGGGGAGCGAAAAGGAUUAGAUACCCCUGUAGUC